CUACGGGAGGCUGCAGUGAGGAAUUUUGCGCAAUGGGGGAAACCCUGACGCAGCAACGCCGCGUGAGCGAAGAAGGCCCUCGGGUCGUAAAGCUCUGUCAAGUGGGAAAAAAAUUUUUUGAUCAAUAGUCAAAAGACUUGAUGGUACCACUGGAGGAAGCACCGGCUAACUCCGUGCCAGGCAGCCGCGGUAAUACGGAGGGUGCGAGCGUUGUUCGGAUUUACUGGGCGUAAAGAGUGUGUAGGCGGUUUAGCAAGUCAGAUGUGAAAGCCCUGGGCUCAACCCGGGAAGUGCAUUUGAAACUGCUUCACUAGAGUAUGGGAGAGGAGAUUGGAAUUCCUGGUGUAGAGGUGAAAUUCGUAGAUAUCAGGAGGAACACCCGUGGCGAAGGCGAUUCUCUGGACCAAUACUGACGCUGAGACGCGAAAGCGUGGGGAGCAAACAGGAUUAGAUACCCGGGUAGUC
rnacentral:rRNA from 1 species